GGGUAUGUGUCUGGCAUUCGAUAGUAAUCCCUUUUAUUGUAAAUGUCUCCGCUUGAAGUCAUGGGUCCUUUUGUAUUGUGAAUACAAUCUAACAAUGUGAAUAUGUGUGUGGUAUGUAAAUUGCUAAAUACAUGACUGGUAUAUUGCAUGUAUAUUAUUAUCGAUAAUGCCAUUGUGUUUUGGCUAUGUUCACACCCGGGAAAAGGUGUGUAUAUGCAUGAUAUGAUAAAUUUGUUAAGCAAAGGUAAAUGGAUAGGCUUGCUUGGGC
rnacentral:lncRNA from 1 species